rnacentral:rRNA from 1 species
GCUUUACUGCAACCUGAUAUGGAAUGUUUGUACCGCUUGUACAGGAUAGGUAGGAGCCGAAGAGACGUGUGCGCUAGCAUACGAGGAGGCAAUGGUGGGAUACGCCCGUGGCGGUAUGACAAUUCUACCCCGCCACGCUUAGCGCGUGGGGAGACAGUGUCAGGUGGGCAGUUUGACUGGGGCGGUCGCCUCCUAAAGAGUAACGGAGGCGCCCAAAGGUUCCCUCAGAAUG